rnacentral:rRNA from 1 species
UGCCAGCAGCCGCGGUAAGACGAACCGUACGAACGUUAUUCGGAAUUAUUGGGCGUAAAGCGCGUGUAGGCGGUCUGUUAAGUCUGAUGUGAAAGCCCGGGGCUCAACCCCGGAAGUGCAUUGGAUACUGGCAGACUUGAGUACGGGAGAGGGAAGUGGAAUUCCGAGUGUAGGAGUGAAAUCCGUAGAUAUUCGGAGGAACACCAGUGGCGAAGGCGGCUUUCUGGACCGAUACUGACGCUGAGACGCGAAAGCGUGGGGAGCAAACAGGAUUAGAUA